UGGGGAAUAUUGCACAAUGGGCGCAAGCCUGAUGCAGCCAUGCCGCGUGUGUGAAGAAGGCCUUCGGGUUGUAAAGCACUUUCAGCGAGGAGGAAGGUGGUGAACUUAAUACGUUCAUCAAUUGACGUUACUCGCAGAAGAAGCACCGGCUAACUCCGUGCCAGCAGCCGCGGUAAUACGGAGGGUGCAAGCGUUAAUCGGAAUUACUGGGCGUAAAGCGCACGCAGGCGGUUUGUUAAGUCAGAUGUGAAAUCCCCGGGCUCAACCUGGGAACUGCAUUUGAAACUGGCAAGCUAGAGUCUCGUAGAGGGGGGUGAGAAUUCCAGGUGUAGCGGUGAAAUGCGUAGAGAUCUGGAGGAAUACCGGUGGCGAAAGGCGGCCCCCCUGGACGAAGACUGACGCUCAGGUGCGAAAGCGUGGGGAGCAAACAGAUUAGNUACCCUGGUAGUCACGCUGUAAACGAUGUCGAUUUUGGAGGUUGUG
rnacentral:rRNA from 1 species